GUUUGUAUUUUCCCUUUAAUAAUGGAUUCACUGCUAAACUGAUCUGAUCUGAACUGAGAGAGUGAAGAGUGUGUCAUUGUUCUCUACAGGUUGUAUAAUUGUGGAGUCACAGAUGAAGGUUGUGCUGCUCUGACUUCAGCUCUGAGAUCAAACCCCUCACACCUGAGAGAUCUGGAUCUGUCUGAGAAUAAAAUAGGAGAAUCAGUGAAUCUGCUGUCUGAUGUACUACAGGAUCCUCACUGUAAACUGGAGAAACUGUGGUUGAAUUAUUGUGGAGUCACAGAUGAAGGUUGUGCUGCUCUGACUUCAGCUCUGAGAUCAAACCCCUCACACCUGAGACAACUGGAUCUGAUUGGGAAUAAAAUAGGAGAUUCAGGAUGUGAACUGCUCACUGAUCUAAAGAAUUCUCCACAUUAUAAACUAGAGACACUGCAGUUUUGAGGAAAUUCCCAUUCCCAUUCAAAUAUCCGCUCUGAGUCCGACUCCACACACUCUCCUCACGGACACUCUCUUCUUUCUCCACUGUAACUUGAGAAAUUCACCACAGUGUUUAUAAACUCCUCUGAUCUGAAUCACGCAGCAGAAACCACAGGGUCCUGAAGCAGAGAGCUCAGAGAGCUGACAGAGAGACACCGUUUGUGUUUCUUGUUAUACAUACUGAAUACAGACUGAUAGAUUAAUAAUUAUAGCUUUUUUAAGACAGGGUUUCAUAAAUGUUAAUGAUGACUGUACAGUACGUGAGUUAUACACUAACUCUGUUAACUUGUAUAUAUGUAUGUAUAAAAUACUGUAUAACUGUAUAAAUAACAUACAUUUCUGACUGCACUGUAUUAAAGUCUCUCACUCACAUAAAAUGACACUAUUGUCACUUUAAAACUACUUUACAGCACAAUUUGAAUUUGUCUCAUAAUUGAACACUAAUGUGAUGUUGAUGAAGCUCUAGUCUGAAUGGAGAUGAGAAUAUAGUAGUGCUGUAAUCAUGAAGUGACUUUUCAAAGCUGUUGUGUAAGAAACUCCAUUUCCAUGUCAAAUAAUGUUUAUCAUUGGUUUUUAAAUGUAAACUGCAGACCUUCUACAACUAAUUCACCUUCUUCAGGUGUCUUUAAAAAUCACAUUUUUGUGCUGUCAUCUAGUCUGAUUUGGCAUUAGUAUUACAAGAAAUCAGUGUGAUUCAUAUGUAAGCACAUAACAGUCUUUAGGUCAGAAGAAAUGAUGAUCAGCUCAUAUUGAACACAGAGAUCAACACCAACACACAUCCAUAAACUGCUCAUAUUAAACUAUA